ACCUCCGUGGCACAGUUGGUCGCGUGCCUGCUUGCAACGCUGGGGGUUAUGGGUUCGAGUCUCGGCUAAAGGUA